CGCAAUAGCCGACCCGAACUAACUCCCCACUCUACUCAUCGACAUCAACUAUGGGUCACCUCUCAUCUCCAAUGAAUCGUCUAUCGUCUCUCACAAAGUCACAGUCUCUGAGUCUCACUCAGUCACUCUCUCCCACUUCCUCCUCCUCUCGCCGCCUGCGGCUCAGCCGGCUCUCCCGAAUCCACUAGUCUACUCAUCGACUACGGGUCUACAACAAUCGUCUCUCACAGUCUCACUCUCUCCCACUUCCUCUUCCUCUCGCCGCCUGUGGCUCAGCCGGUUCUCCCUUCUCCAC
rnacentral:lncRNA from 1 species